rnacentral:rRNA from 1 species
AGUGAACGCUGGCGGUAGGCCUAACACAUGCAAGUCGAACGGCAGCACAGUAAGAGCUUGCUCUUACGGGUGGCGAGUGGCGGACGGGUGAGGAAUACAUCGGAAUCUACUUUUUCGUGGGGGAUAACGUAGGGAAACUUACGCUAAUACCGCAUACGACCUACGGGUGAAAUCAGGGGAUCUUCGGACCUUGCGCGAUUGAAUGAGCCGAUGUCGGAUUAGCUAGUUGGCGGGGUAAAGGCCCACCAAGGCGACGAUCCGUAGCUGGUCUGAGAGGGUGAUCAGCCACACUGGAACUGAGACACGGUCCAGACUCCUACGGGAGGCAGCAGUGGGGAAUAUUGGACAAUGGGCGCAAGCCUGAUCCAGCCAUACCGCGUGGGUGAAGAAGGCCUUCGGGUUGUAAAGCCCUUUUGUUGGGAAAGAAAAGCAGCAGGUUAAUACCCCGCUGUUCUGACGGUACCCAAAGAAUAAGCACCGGCUAACUUCGUG